AGCAGCCGCGGUAAUUCCAGCUCCAAUAGCGUAUAUUAAAGUUGUUGCAGUUAAAAAGCUCGUAGUUGAAUUUUGGAUUCUGCCUAUCGGUCCGUCUUUUAGACGAGUACUGGUGGUGUAGGGUCUAUCUGCCUGAUGAUACGUAAUGUCCUUUAUUGGGUGUUGCGGGUAGUCAGGACCUUUACCUUGAAAAAAUUUAGAGUGUUUAAAGCAGGCUUAUGCCGGAAUACAUUAGCAUGGAAUAAUAGAAUAGGACGAAGUUGUUUUAUUUUGUUGGUUUCUAGGACAACCGUAAUGAUUAAUAGGGAUAGUUGGGGGCAUUAGUAUUCAAUUGUCAGAGGUGAAAUUCUUGGAUUUAUUGAAGACUAACUACUGCGAAAGCAUUUGCCAAGGAUGUUUUCAUUAAUCAAGAACGAAAGUUAGGGGAUCGAAGACGAUCAGAUACCGUCGUAGUCUUAACCAUAAACUAUGCCGACUAGGGAUCGGGCGAUGUUGUUUCCAUGACUCGCUCGGCACCUUA
rnacentral:rRNA from 1 species